UUAAGCAUAUCAAUAAGCGGAGGAAAAGAAACUAACAAGGAUUCCCCUAGUAACUGCGAGUGAAGCGGGAAAAGCUCAAAUUUAAAAUCUGGCGGUCUUUGGCCGUCCGAGUUGUAGUCUAGGAGAAGCGUCUUCCGCGUUGGACCGUGUACAAGUCUCUUGGAACAGAGCGUCAUAGAGGGUGAGAAUCCCGUCUUUGACACGGACUACCAAUGCUUUGUGAUGCGCUCUCAAAGAGUCGCGUUGUUUGGGAAUGCAGCGCAAAAUGGGAGGUGAAUUCCUUCUAAAGCUAAAUAUUGGCGAGAGACCGAUAGCGAACAAGUACCGUGAGGGAAAGAUGAAAAGCACUUUGGAAAGAGAGUUAAACAGUACGUGAAAUUGCUAAAAGGGAAACGCUUGAAGUCAGUCGCGUCGUCYGGAACUCAGCUUUGCUUCGGCUUAGUGCACUUUCCGGUUGACGGGCCAGCAUCGAUUUUGACCGCUGGAAAAGGGCUGGAGGAAUGUGGCACCUUCGGGUGUGUUAUAGCCUUCAGUCGCAUACAGCGGUUGGGAUCGAGGAACKCAGCGCGCCUUAUGGCYGGGGUUCGCCCACAUUCGCGCUUAGGAUGCUGGCAUAAUGGCUUUAAACGACCCGUCUG
rnacentral:rRNA from 1 species